UUACGCUGUUAUCCCUAAGGUAACUUAGUCUAAUAAUCAAUAAUAAUGGAUCUAAUAUUCAUAAAUCAAUGUUAAAUAAAUAAAAAAGUUAUAUUUAUAUUUUUGUCACCCCAACAAAACACAAAUUAAUAUAAAAUAAUAAUAUAAAACCAUUUAAAUAAAUUUAUGUAAAGAUCUAUAGGGUCUUCUCGUCUUCCAAUAAAAUUUUAGCUUUUUGACUAAAAAAUUAAAUUUUAAAACAAAUAAAAUGAGACAGCUAGUUCCUCGUUAAACCUUUCAUUCCAGCCCUCUAUUAAAAGACUAAUGAUUAUGCUACCUUUGCACGGUCAGUAUACCGCGGCCGUUAAAUUCAUCACUGGGCAGGUCAGACCUUCCAUUAAAUUCAAAAGGACAUGUUUUUGAUAAACAGGCG
rnacentral:rRNA from 1 species